rnacentral:rRNA from 1 species
UGGGUGAAGCCUGAUCCAGCCAUCCCGCGUGAAGGAUGACGGCCCUAUGGGUUGUAAACUUCUUUUGUAUAGGGAUAAACCUUUCCUCGUGAGGAAAGCUGAAGGUACUAUACGAAUAAGCACCGGCUAACUCCGUGCCAGCAGCCGCGGUAAUACGGAGGGUGCAAGCGUUAUCCGGAUUUAUUGGGUUUAAAGGGUCCGUAGGCUGAUUUGUAAGUCAGUGGUGAAAUCUCACAGCUUAACUGUGAAACUGCCAUUGAUACUGCAAGUCUUGAGUGUUGUUGAAGUAGCUGGAAUAAGUAGUGUAGCGGUGAAAUGCAUAGAUAUUACUUAGAACACCAAUUGCGAAGGCAGGUUACUAAGCAACAACUGACGCUGAUGGACGAAAGCGUGGGGAGCGAACAGGAUUAGAUACCCUGGUAGUCCACGCCGUAAACGAUGCUAACUCGUUUUUGGGUUUUCGGAUUCAGAGACUAAGCGAAAGUGAUAAGUUAGCCACCUGGGGAGUACGAACGCAAGUUUGAAACUCAAAGGAAUUGACGGGGGCCCGCACAAGCGGUGGAUUAUGUGGUUUAAUUCGAUGAUACGCGAGGAACCUUACCAAGGCUUAAAUGGGAAAUGACAGGUUUAGAAAUAGACUUUUCUUCGGACAUUUUUCAAGGUGCUGCAUGGUUGUCGUCAGCUCGUGCCGUGAGGUGUUAGGUUAAGUCCUGCAACGAGCGCAACCCCUGUCACUAGUUGCCAUCAUUAAGUUGGGGACUCUAGUGAGACUGCCUACGCAAGUAGAGAGGAAGGUGGGGAUGACGUCAAAUCAUCACGGCCCUUACGCCUUGGGCCACACACGUAAUACAAUGGCCGGUACAGAGGGCAGCUACACAGCGAUGUGAUGCAAAUCUCGAAAGCCGGUCUCAGUUCGGAUUGGAGUCUGCAACUCGACUCUAUGAGGCUGGAAUCGCUAGUAAUCGCGCAUCAGCCAUGGCGCGUUGAAUACGUUCCCGGGGGCUUGUACACACCGCCGUCAAGCCAUGGAAGUCUGGGUACUGAAGUCGGUGACCGUAACAGGGAGCUGCUAGGUAAACAGGUAACUAAGGCUUAGUCGUAAACAAGUAA